UACGUAGGGCGCAAGCGUUGUCCGGAAUUAUUGGGCGUAAAGAGCUCGUAGGCGGUCUGUCGCGUCCGUUGUGAAAACUCGAGGCUCAACCUCGGGCUUGCAGUGGAUACGGGCAGACUAGAGUGCGGUAGGGGAGACUGGAAUUCCUGGUGUAGCGGUGGAAAUGCGCAGAUAUCAGGAGGAACACCGAUGGCGAAGGC
rnacentral:rRNA from 1 species